CGUUUCCCUGCUGGAGAGAGGCGCCGCGGCCCAGGCCGCGCGUCCACCGAAGGAGCAAGCCCCCAUCGCGGGGUGAAUCUCUCAGGUAAAGCGGACAGCCGGGGUGGA
rnacentral:ncRNA from 1 species